UGGCGGACGGGUGAGUAACGCGUGGGUAACCUGCCUCACACAGGGGGAUAACAGUUGGAAACGACCGCUAAUACCGCAUAACCCGCUAGGGCCGCAUGGCCCGGACGGAAAAGAUUUAUCGGUGUGAGAUGGACCCGCGUUGGAUUAGCUAGUUGGCAGGGUAACGGCCUACCAAGGCGACGAUCCAUAGCCGGCCUGAGAGGGUGAACGGCCACAUUGGGACUGAGACACGGCCCAAACUCCUACGGGAGGCAGCAGUGGGGAAUAUUGCACAAUGGGGGAAACCCUGAUGCAGCGACGCCGCGUGAGUGAAGAAGUAUUUCGGUAUGUAAAGCUCUAUCAGCAGGGAAGAAAAUGACGGUACCUGACUAAGAAGCCCCGGCUAACUACGUGCCAGCAGCCGCGGUAAUACGUAGGGGGCAAGCGUUAUCCGGAUUUACUGGGUGUAAAGGGAGCGUA
rnacentral:rRNA from 1 species